rnacentral:misc_RNA from 1 species
GUAUUGAUUGCGUGUUAUCGCAAAAAUGGGGGUCAUUCUACACUUUUAAAAUAGGGGUUUGUGUGAAAACGCAAGCCCCCCUCCCGGAUCGGUUUGAUCCCAAAGGGUGCCCACGCGGUGAUGCACAAAGGGUGAGAUGGAUUAUUAUGUGAGGAAACACACCCGGGCGUGCACGACAUUGAGUCAGCGACAGCCCUUGCAUGCCCCUCACAUUUUGUACGAUAAUGAUCCUUCCGCAGGUUCACCUACGGAAA